ensembl:snRNA U6 U6 spliceosomal RNA
AUGCUUUGGGCAGCACCUAUACCAAAAUUGGAACUAUACAGAGAAGAUCAGUGUAGCCUCUGCACAAGGAUGACAUGCGAAUUCAUGAAGCAUCCCACAUUCGC